AGAGUUUGAUCCUGGCUCAGGAUGAACGCUGGCGGCGUGCCUAAUACAUGCAAGUCGAGCGAACGGACGAGAAGCUUGCUUCUCUGAUGUUAGCGGCGGACGGGUGAGUAACACGUGGAUAACCUACCUAUAAGACUGGGAUAACUUCGGGAAACCGGAGCUAAUACCGGAUAAUAUUUUGAACCGCAUGGUUCAAAAGUGAAAGACGGUCUUGCUGUCACUUAUAGAUGGAUCCGCGCUGCAUUAGCUAGUUGGUAAGGUAACGGCUUACCAAGGCAACGAUGCAUAGCCGACCUGAGAGGGUGAUCGGCCACACUGGAACUGAGACACGGUCCAGACUCCUACGGGAGGCAGCAGUAGGGAAUCUUCCGCAAUGGGCGAAAGCCUGACGGAGCAACGCCGCGUGAGUGAUGAAGGUCUUCGGAUCGUAAAACUCUGUUAUUAGGGAAGAACAUAUGUGUAAGUAACUGUGCACAUCUUGACGGUACCUAAUCAGAAAGCCACGGCUAACUACGUGCCAGCAGCCGCGGUAAUACGUAGGUGGCAAGCGUUAUCCGGAAUUAUUGGGCGUAAAGCGCGCGUAGGCGGUUUUUUAAGUCUGAUGUGAAAGCCCACGGCUCAACCGUGGAGGGUCAUUGGAAACUGGAAAACUUGAGUGCAGAAGAGGAAAGUGGAAUUCCAUGUGUAGCGGUGAAAUGCGCAGAGAUAUGGAGGAACACCAGUGGCGAAGGCGACUUUCUGGUCUGUAACUGACGCUGAUGUGCGAAAGCGUGGGGAUCAAACAGGAUUAGAUACCCUGGUAGUCCACGCCGUAAACGAUGAGUGCUAAGUGUUAGGGGGUUUCCGCCCCUUAGUGCUGCAGCUAACGCAUUAAGCACUCCGCCUGGGGAGUACGACCGCAAGGUUGAAACUCAAAGGAAUUGACGGGGACCCGCACAAGCGGUGGAGCAUGUGGUUUAAUUCGAAGCAACGCGAAGAACCUUACCAAAUCUUGACAUCCUUUGACAACUCUAGAGAUAGAGCCUUCCUCUUCGGGGGACAAAGUGACAGGUGGUGCAUGGUUGUCGUCAGCUCGUGUCGUGAGAUGUUGGGUUAAGUCCCGCAACGAGCGCAACCCUUAAGCUUAGUUGCCAUCAUUAAGUUGGGCACUCUAAGUUGACUGCCGGUGACAAACCGGAGGAAGGUGGGGAUGACGUCAAAUCAUCAUGCCCCUUAUGAUUUGGGCUACACACGUGCUACAAUGGACAAUACAAAGGGCAGCGAAACCGCGAGGUCAAGCAAAUCCCAUAAAGUUGUUCUCAGUUCGGAUUGUAGUCUGCAACUCGACUACAUGAAGCUGGAAUCGCUAGUAAUCGUAGAUCAGCAUGCUACGGUGAAUACGUUCCCGGGUCUUGUACACACCGCCCGUCACACCACGAGAGUUUGUAACACCCGAAGCCGGUGGAGUAACCUUUUAGGAACUAGCCGUCGAAGGUGGGACAAAUGAUUGGGGUGAAGUCGUAACAAGGUAGCCGUAUCGGAAGGUGCGGCUGGAUCACCU
rnacentral:rRNA from 3 species